CGUGCUGCCGGCGCGGCGUGUGACGCAACGGCUAUCGCGGCACAUGAGUGGCUGUCAGCCCGAGACUCCAACUCCCGGCAGGCCCUGCUGCUGGCGCGGCGUGUGACGCAACGGGCGACGCGGCCCGGCAUUUUUCUCUAAAUCGGCAGUAAAUACAGCUGAGUAAAAUUAGCUUGGUUUUCUUCCUUCUUUUGUAACGGAACUGUUUUUAUUAAAAAUCCUAUUUGAAUAUGUGGAAAAAGUGGGGAUGUCCUGUAAUAUAUCGUCGCUUUUCUUGUUUACAGGGUGCUCAGAAAGCAUGCGUCCCUUAGAGUCCCACGGAAAGGUUCUCAGUGCGCUCUCUAUCAAGUGCUAUGAGUCUUGAUAAAUUGGAGAAGAGCCCAAGAGAAAUUUUUCAUCCCUUGAUAUAAAAGGGAUCGGUGAAUUUUAACUUUGGAGUCCACUAUGCUAAGGAUGCUCAGCUUACAGGUGAUGAAAUGUUCAGUAAUGUAUUUGCUGCAGCUCUGCUUACCCAAGCUUUGGGUUCCUUCUGUCCCACUGGGAGUUGCCCAGUUUGGUUGCAUCUGGUGAAAUUCACCCUGAGACCUUACAGAACUAGCUCCAACUACGUGAGAGCCAUUUGCAGUUCUCUCCAGACACCUGGAGAAUGGGUGACGUUUCUGAGGAUCCGGCGAGCGUGCUUCUAUCAAAACUCAGUCUGUGAAAUUUCUGGGGAAAACCCUUCUGUGUCCUGAAGGGUUCAAACUCUGGCGAGGAUCCCGUUAUCAGGUGCUCACCUGGAUGGUUCCAGCUGCCAAAGGGAAAGACUCUUGUAUCCUUGUCGUCGGGCUCGGUGCUGUCCAAGAAGAUACGGGGACUAAAAAAAUCAUAAGAAGCAAAAUAUGACUGCAGGGAAAAGAAGCUGGAGAGAAGAGAAGACUCAUCACGGCGGGACAGCGUGAGGACUGAAAGUGUAAGAAGAUGUGGAGGGAAAGAGAGAAUCUGACAGGAGCAGCGAACGCAUGAGUGCACGAAUUUUGCUUUUUGCUUGGAUGUAAACUCAGGAGUUGAGAGGAAUUUGGGAGUGAGAAGGGACAUUUCAGAAGGAGAAGAAGAAAAAGAAGUUGUUGCUACAGUCCUGGCAAAAGCUUUUGUUCUAGCUAAUAAAAGAAGUUAGUUUAAAAAACAAAAAGGAAAAAAUGUAGUGUUUUUUUUUUCCUUCACUAUGAUAUUCAUUGGUGGUAUAUGGUGUGUUGUUUUAUUUCUUGGUAUUAUUAACUCUGUGUAAAUUGUUUUUUGAGUGAAGCUGACUUUCUGGAUGGGUUGGUUUGUAUUUGAGGCAGGAUUAAUUUCAGUAGGGUUCUUUCAUAGAUUUCUGAUGGGUAUUACUGGGAUUUUGGUUUUGUUUACUGUAUGUAUGAACCUAGAGCUUUGGUAGGGCCAGCUGGGCUGCUGGAGUUUUGGGUGUGAAUUUAUUAGAUGGCUUUUGUUAGAUGCAGUUUUUAAUUUUUGAAAUGUUUUUCAAUGUAGUGGUUUUAAGGUGGUUUUUAAGAAUUCAUUGUAUUGCUUUAUCUUGUUUGUAGUUGGUGUAUGAUAAGGGAUGUGGUGUGAGUUCUUGAACAUUAUGGUUUUGGUGUUCCUAAGUUCUGAUUUCUUUGUGGUUCAAUAUUUUUUUUUAUUUUUAUUUUUUGGGACAGGGGCAUUUAUAUGGUGGGUUUUUAUAGGCAAUAUGUUUUUUAAUUUAGGUAGUGAUAUUUUUUAAUAUUUUAAUAGUUUAGGUUUUUUAUUUUCAUGGUUUUAAUUAUUUUUUUUAAUUUUUUGAAAUAACUUUUAUAGAUUACAUGUUAUUAUUUGUGCAUUAACAUAAAGGUAGAGCUUUGGGGACUUUUUUUAGUAAUGUUUAGGGUCAGUUGUGCAGUUUUGAGUCUAGUGCGUUGGUUUGAUGUAA